rnacentral:rRNA from 1 species
GUGGGUAGUUUGACUGGGGCGGUCUCCUCCUAAAGAGUAACGGAGGAGCACGAAGGUUGGCUAAUCCUGGUCGGACAUCAGGAGGUUAGUGCAAUGGCAUAAGCCAGCUUGACUGCGAGCGUGACGGCGCGAGCAGGUGCGAAAGCAGGUCAUAGUGAUCCGGUGGUUCUGAAUGGAAGGGCCAUCGCUCAACGGAUAAAAGGUACUCCGGGGAUAACAGGCUGAUACCGCCCAAGAGUUCAUAUCGACGGCGGUGUUUGGCACCUCGAUGUCGGCUCAUCACAUCCUGGGGCUGAAGUAGGUCCCAAGGGUAUGGCUGUUCGCCAUUUAAAGUGGUACGCGAGCUGGGUUUAGAACGUCGUGAGACAGUUCGGUCCCUAUCUGCCGUGGGCGCUGGAGAACUGAGGGGGGCUGCUCCUAGUACGAGAGGACCGGAGUGGACGCAUCACUGGUGUUCGGGUUGUCAUGCCAAUGGCACUGCUCGGUAGCUAAAUGCGGAAGAGAUAAGUGCUGAAAGCAUCUAAGCACGAAACUUGCCCCGAGAUGAGUUCUCCCUGACUCCUUGAGAGUCCUGAAGGAACGUUGAAGACGACGACGUUGAUAGGCCGGGUGUGUAAGCGCAGCGAUGCGUUGAGCUAACCGGUACUAAUGAACCGUGAGGCU